rnacentral:rRNA from 1 species
UACGGAGGGGGCUAGCGUUGUUCGGAAUUACUGGGCGUAAAGCGCACGUAGGCGGACCAGAAAGUCAGAGGUGAAAUCCCAGGGCUCAACCUUGGAACUGCCUUUGAAACUCCUGGUCUUGAGGUCGAGAGAGGUGAGUGGAAUUCCGAGUGUAGAGGUGAAAUUCGUAGAUAUUCGGAGGAACACCAGUGGCGAAGGCGGCUCACUGGCUCGAUACUGACGCUGAGGUGCGAAAGCGUGGGGAGCAAACAGG